CCUACGGGGGGCAGCAGUGGGGAAUAUUGCACAAUGGGGGAAACCCUGAUGCAGCGACGCCGCGUGAGUGAAGAAGUAUUUCGGUACGUAAAGCUCUAUCAGCCGGGAAGAAAAUGACGGUACCUGACUAAGAAGCCCCGGCUAACUACGUGCCAGCAGCCGCGGUAAUACGGAGGGGGCACGCGUUAUCCGGAUUUACUGGGUGUAAAGGGGGCGUAGACGGCAGCGCAAGUCUGACGUGAAAUCCCAUGGCUUAACCGUGGAACUGCCUUGGAAACUGUGCAGCUGGAGUGCAGGAGAGGUAAGCGGAAUUCCUGGUGUAGCGGUGAAAUGCGUAGAUAUUAGGCAGAACACCAGUGGCGAAGGCAGCUUACUGGACUGUAACUGACGUUGAGGCUCGAAAGCGUGGGGAGCGAACAGGAUUAGAUACCCGGGUAGUC
rnacentral:rRNA from 1 species